rnacentral:sRNA from 1 species
AAAUAAACCUGACAGCAGCGAAAAUCCUUUUGCUUGCAGCACCUUUAACAUGCUAUCAUGCUGAGGCACUAAGCAUCUGCAAGCCAUGGAACAGAGGCUCCUCACCUCAGCACUUCAAAACCCGCAAAAAGAUUGUAGCGAAUGGCAGGACUGCAG